rnacentral:snoRNA from 1 species
AUGCAAUGAUGAGUGAAGUAUAGUCUGACCUGGUAUUGCCACUGCUUUAGAUGUGGCUUUGACCAGGGUGUGAUCCCAUAAUCUUCUCUCUGAGCGA